rnacentral:rRNA from 1 species
ACAAUAUACAAGGUGCUGCAUGGUUGUCGUCAGCUCGUGCCGUGAGGUGUCGGGUUAAGUCCCAUACGAGCGCAACCCUAUCAUUAGUUGCCAUCAGGUCAAGCUGGGGACUCUAAUGAAACUGCCUACGCAAGUAGUGAGGAAGGUGGGGAUGACGUCAAAUCAGCACGGCCCUUACGUCCAGGGCUACACACGUGCUACAAUGGCCGGUACAAAGGGCAGCUACCUGGUGACAGGAUGCUAAUCUCAAAAGCCGGUCUCAGUUCGGAUCGGAGUCUGCAACCCGGCUCCGUGAAGCUGGAAUCGCUAGUAAUCGCGCAUCAGCCAUGGCGCGGUGAAUACGUUCCCGGGCCUU